rnacentral:sRNA from 1 species
CUGGUUGGAUGAGAAGAACCUUACCCCUGCCAUCUAUGAAUACUACUCCCAGGAACAAUUUUCCAUCUUCCAUAACCUUGUGCCGCCAUUCUAUUCAAAACCUUGACGGCGAACCUGCGAGACUCAUGCCCUAGAAAUUUUGCUUUCUCGCCUAACUUUGGAGGUCAUUCUUGUUUGUAGGUUUUGAAUAAUCUAGCCCUUUCUCUGAUAAUGGGUAAAGCUAAAAAGGAUCCAAAGUUUGCUGUUAGGAAGAAGAUUGUCACUUCCAAAACAAUAAAAAGUUUGCGAUCGGUGGUUGUCAUUCACUUUUCGUGGUUGCGGUUACCUUGCUCUCACCAGUUUGUCUUCAUCUUGUACCUGGCCUUCGCCAGUUCGUGAGUUGUGUUUGUGUUUCUUUAUGGGAUUCGUGUAGUUUUGUGAUUCAUUCGUUGUGGAUAUGAUCGAGCUUCAUGCAAAUUGUGCUGAUAUUUUGUGCUCACUAUUGCUGCUCUAGUCUAGAUAUUAAUUAUCCGUUCUACUUGUUUGGAUUAUUGAAUAAUGUGCACAAUGUUACAAUUAUUCGAAAUUGAAGAUAAUCUUCAAAUCCAAUAGGUUAGACGAUUUGGCAAAAUCAAGUUGAUAAUACAAACUGCUUGCUGCUGUUGAGUAUGUCUUUUUAAUGAGGAAUCAAUUGGAUUGUACAUAGUAUGGAGUAUUGGUAGUAAAGGCAAAGAAUAGAUGUAUCAGCAUAAGCUAAUUCCUUUGACCAUGUAGUAAAGUUUUUCUUGUAGUAAAGGAAGAUAAUAAAUUUA